rnacentral:rRNA from 1 species
UACGUAGGGUGCGAGCGUUACUCGGAAUUACUGGGCGUAAAGCGUGCGCAGGCGGCGCCGCAAGUCGGGUGUGAAAUCCCCGAGCUUAACUUGGGAAUUGCGCUCGAAACUACGGUGCUGGAGUGUGGCAGAGGGAGGUGGAAUUCCACGUGUAGCGGUGAAAUGCGUAGAGAUGUGGAGGAACACCGAUGGCGAAGGCAGCCUCCUGGGCCAACACUGACGCUCAUGCACGAAAGCGUGGGGAGCAAACAGG